ACGAAAUCGCAUUCAUGAUUCCACGGCUCGAAGUUGGUCGUGUUAUUGAUUGACCUUUGACCCAUUGGCUGUCUACAGACAUAAUACAAUAAGGCAUACAUAAUUUCAAAGGAGGUCAAAAAGACAGAAAGUUAAAAAUUGUUGGGGUUGUUCAAAUGAAGCACGCGACGCCCGGGGUUUAAAUUAACGCAGUUCCCGGAGCUCCAAUAGAUUCUGCAGGCGUGAGAGCAAAGGCUGGCGCCCUCAAGUCCCCACUCACCCUGGGCUCUCCUUUUUAUUAAUACCACCGCAUUUGCUUAAAUAAUG
rnacentral:lncRNA from 1 species